rnacentral:hammerhead_ribozyme from 1 species
AUCCAUCUGACGAGUCUCAAAUAGGACGAAGCGCGCGUGUCAAACUGGAU